CCCUGCAGGACAUUCUGCGGCUGACGUGAAGCGCCCGAACGCGGGCGCUGGCGCCCCCUGCCGCUCGCCGCGGUCUUCCUUACCUGCCGACCCCGGUCGCUCUUGGCCCCCCUAGGAUGGAGUCUCGAUCUGUCGCCCAGGCUGGAGUACAGUGGUGCGAUCUUGGCUUACUGAAACCUCUGCCUCCCGGGUUCAAGCAAUCCUCUUGCCUCAGCCUCCCGAGUUGCCAGGAUUACAGGCGUGAGCCAUUACGCCCAACUGUUUUUUUUUUUUUAGUAGAGACGGGGUUUCACCAUGUUGGCCAGGGUGGUCUCAAACUCCUGACCAGCCUGAGUCAGGUGAGGUGAUCCACCCGCCUCGGCCUCCCAAAGUGCUGGGAUUACAGGCGUGAGCCACCAUGCCUGGCCAGGAAUUUAAUCAGUCCAGCUCAGGCUUUUCUGAGAAAAAUAGAAAUUUCAUUAUUAAAUAUUUUUUGUUGACAUUCUUUCUCCCUGUUCCUGAUGAUGGAUGUGUUAAUCCUGACCUCAUCCUUCAGUGGCUGCCUUAUGACCAGGCUUAUAGCACUGGAUUUGCUGAAUUUUGGAGGUUCCAGGGAUGUUCUAUGUUGUUUAAGGUUAGUCAGCCUUAAGCAAUAAUGUGGCCCAGAAAGCAGUUUGAGUUCAGUUUAUAGGGAAAACUGUUUACACUUCCCAGUAUACCAGAAAGAAGGUGUUCAGAAGCUGGUGUUUUAAUUUUCUCACAGAUCAAGAAUACAGCUUUUGGAAGUUGUCCAGAGCCAUUCUAAAAUCAGAUUCGAACAGGAUCAAAGAAAUUCUUGAUCUCAUUUUGUCAUCUAUUGAGCAUUUCAGUGAGAAGAGACACAUAGUCUUUAUGCUCAGGAAGCUUUCAAUGUUCUGUUGAGAAGUUACAGUCAUCCCUCUAUAUCUGCAGGGAAUCGGUUCCAGGACCCCUCUCAGACACCAAAAUCCACGAAUACUCAAGUCCCUGAUAUAAAAUGGUAUAGUAUAUGCAGGUUGCCUACACACGUCCUCCUGGUUAUACUUUAAAAAAAUCUCUAAAUUACUCAUAAUACCUAGUAUAAUAUAAAUGCUAUGCAAGUAAUUGUUACACUAUUGUAUUUUAUUUGUGAUUUUUUAAAAUUUGUAUUUAUUUAUUUGAAACAGUCUUGCUUGGUCGCCCAGGCUAGAGUGCAGUGGUGUGAUUUUGGCUCACUGCAACCUCUGCCUCCUGGGUUCAAGCAAUUCUGGGGCCUACCUGAGUCCCAGAGUAGAUGGGAUUACAGACCCACACCACCAUGCCCCAGCUAAUUUUUUGUAUUUUUAGUAGAGAUGGGUUUUUACCAUGGUGACCAGGUUGGUCUUGAACUCCUGACCUUAGGUGAUCUGCCCGCCUCGGCCUUCCAAAGUGCUGGGAUUAUAGGUGUGAGACAUCACGCCUGGCCUAUUUUUUAUUGUUGUAUUGUUUUUGUUUGUUUUUUCAAGUAUUUUCAACCCACAUGGUUGGCUGAAUCUGCCCAUGUGGAACCCACAGAUGAGGAGGACUGACUUUAAUUACAACUUAAAAAGACAUCUUCAAAUCAGCUCAGCCUUGAACAAGCAUGGUUGCUAAAUUACCAGCCUACUAGAAACUUUCUGGAAAAGAACAGGGGCCCACAGCUAGAUGUCUGAGUUAAGGGGUUCAGGCCAGGGUUUGUCAGGUGCAGGAUGGCUGCCUUGUUCAAUAAGAUUAAUAACCAACAAAGAAAAUGUAUAGUAAGAAUUCCAGUAAGUUUUCUAGGUAUUUUCAUAUUACUCAAAAGCAAAGGUCAGUGUGUUAUUUUAAUUGAAUAUUUUAUACCUACAAAUCACGUUUUUUCUUUAAUUAUUCCCAGUAGUCCUGGCUGCACUCAGAAAUAGGAAACUUUCCAAUAACUGCUUAACGUUUUAUGACUUCAUACAUUUCAUGCAGUAGUCUCUCAUCGUACCCUCUACUUCUUUUGAAGCACGUCUGACCAUUGUAAUUAAUUCACUGACAAUUUGUCUGAUGCCUGCCUUGUUCACUGGACGUUCCAGCACCCAACUUAGCACCUUGUGGGUGGAGAAUGGCCUAGUAAGAUGUUUACCAGAUAUUGUUAGGUGAGAAGAACAAGAGUUAUGCAGUAUCAUUCCUUUCUGGUUUUAAAAAUUAUCUAUACAUGCAUGAAGGACUGGAAGGUUAAACACUAAAGGGUUUUUUUUUGUUUCUGUAUUUUCUAGUAUUCUAAAUUAUUCUGUAAUAAAUGAAAAUAGAAAUGUACAUGUAACCUGUCUCUUUAAAAACUUUUAACUACUUACAACUACAAAACGAAAAAUAGCAGUAUAGUGGAGAAACCAGACAAUACUGCCAACAAAUGAUCAAAAUUAACAUUAUCAAGAAGGUACAGAUGUCAUGUGCCUUCAGCUGUGAUACUCUGAGAAUACAAUGCCCCUAUGUAGUGCUCGACUGGUAAUACAUAACCUGAAUCUACCAUGAUAAAACAUCAACUACAAGUCCAGGAAUGAACUGCUCAAUAAAAUAAUUGGUCUAUACUCUUCAAAAAUGUCAGGGUCAAGAAAGAUUGAGACACUGUUUCAAGUUAAGAGGCUAAAGAGACAUGGUGACUAAAUGAAAUGUGUGAUCCUAGACUGGAUCCUGUAAUGGGGAAAAUUACCAUAUAGGACGUUAUUGUGACCAUACAUGAAAUUCACUGGAUGAUAGAUUAAAAUACUGUGUCAGUAUUAAAUUUGCUGAAUUUGGUCAUAUAAUAACCUUAUUUGUAACAAAUACACACUCAAGUAUUAAGGGGGGAAAGGGACAUUAUGUAUAUAAUCUAUUCUCAAACCACUCAAAAAAAAAUGUGUGUAUGUGUAUAUGUACAAGGGGUGGGGAAGACAGAGAAAGCAAAUGUGGCAAAAUGUUAAAGAUUAGUGAAUCUGGGUUUGAGCACAUAAAAAUUCUUUGUACUAUUUUUGCAACUUUUCUGUAAGUAUGAAAUUA
rnacentral:lncRNA from 1 species